CAUACUGUUCUGAUGAGUGUAGCUCUGUAUUAAAGUCUGAAGUAAGGGAGUCUAAUUCCUCCAGCUCCAUUUUUCUUUCUCAGGAUUGCUUGGUUAUUUGGGGUCUUUUGCGUUUCCAUGCAAAUUUUAAAAUAUUUUGUUCCAAUUCUGUGAAAAAUGCCAUUAGUAAUUUGAUAGGGAUUGCAUUGAAUCUGUAGAUUGUCAUUUUGACUCUACUAACCAAUGUAAUGUUUUUUUAUUUGCAUUGCCCUCUCCUUUUUCACUUUUCCAUGUGUUAAUCUAAUAACUGUUGCCACUGGUUUAGAAAUUGGUCCAAUAAUAAUUUCAUUUUUUUAGCCACACUCCACAGAAAGGUUUUUUUAAUUUUGUGCUGUGAAAUUUGCUUGAAUUUUGUUUAUAUGGACAGACCCACACACCAAAUAUUUGCUUGGGCCCUACACAUCUUAGGAGUGGCCUUGUUAUUAUGAAUGAUAAUGGCAGGAAAGGACCAGCUUGUUUAAUGCUUAUCGAAUGACCCUUUUAUCUUGGGAACUGGGCCAUCACCCCAUAUUUGCACUGCCUUAUGCUCAUUUUUGUUAAAUCAGCACUUCCUGGUACAUCAUAUGAAAUAAAACAAAGUUGAGUAUUUUGUACCCUCUUGUCCAUUAAAUUCUUCUCUAGGUGUUUUAAUUACCCGUUAGUUGGAUUUACACUGUUGGGUAGUCUUAUCUUCCUCCUCCUCAUUCUGUGAACUAGCUUUUUAUUUAGUUUAGUGUUUAGUUUAGAGUUUAGUGUUGUGCCUUUAAUUUUCAUCAAGAAGCUUUACAAGGCAGUCUUAGAAAAUUUGUCCUUGGUAGAGAUAUUUUUUGGAAAUGUCCACAACAUCUAUAGUAAUAAAAGAUUGUAGAGACAUUUUUCUUUGUUUCUGUUCACAGAAGGGAAAAUGGUGUUUCUUGUUAAUAACUAAACCCAGUGUUUUCUACUUCUCCAGCAUCUCUGGUCUCCCCCUGUAGAUGCCAGUGGCCAACUCCCUGCCCUCCAGUUGUGAUCAUGAAAAAUGCUUCCAGACAUUUUCAAGUGUUCCUUGGGAGGCAAAAUUUCAUCUGGUUGAGAACUGUUGAGAUUAUGGCAUAAUCUCUUUGCCAUGCAAGUGGAAGAGAAUAAAUAUUUACUGAUGGGUUUCAACGUGUCAUAUAGGAGACUAGGAGGAUGCUUCUUCAAGCAUAUAUGUUUUCAGCUUUUUAAGUUCCAUCUUUGAGUCUGCCAAACAACAGUUUUGGAAAUCACAGUCAUUUUAUUGUGAAGUAUUACUCACAGUAGAAUCAUGUCCCAAAUCUCUAGGAGGAAAAGAAUGCACUUUUUUUUUUUUUUUUUGAAAUCUUUUUAGGGCCGCCUCUGUGACGUAUGGAAGUUCCCAGGCUAAGGGUUGAAUUAGAGCUGCAGCUGCUGGCCUAGGCCACAUCUCAUGGCAACGCUGGAUCCUUAACCCACCGAGCAAGACCAGGGAUCAGACUCAUGUCUUCAUGAAUACUAGUCAGAUUAGUUAUAGCUGAGCCACACGGGAACUCCAAAAAAUGCACUUUUUCCACAUUUAAGCAUUCCAGUGUCAGAAGAGCAGCCUGGGAUAGUCUGGCUUUGUCCAGGAGUGAUUGCACAGAGUGUGUUUCUGGUGAACAGAGUGACUUUGAUGAAGUCACUAAAGGCCUUGGUCUCUCUAAAAUGACAUCGAUGAACAGGAAUCAAACAAGGCCACCAAAUAAAAGGGAAAAUUGCCACUGGCAUUUACGCGUUUUUCACCCAUGUUUAUAGAUUAGUAGACAUGCUUUUUACUACGUAUUGAAUGACCCUCUUAUCUUGAGGACUGUGAACAUCAUUCACAUGACACACACAUUGCCUUGUGCUUGUUUUUGCCAAAUCAGAGCUUCUGGUGCAUAAUAUGAAACAAAACAAAGUGAAGUAAGCAACUAAGGAUGACAGCUCUUUACCUGCAAAGCUGUAAAUAGCUUAAGCAACAAUUAAAUUUACUAAAUGUAUAAAGGCAUACUUAGAGAGGGAUAAAUAUAACAAUACCACUUUAAUUCCUAGACAUUUUUGAACCUUUAUUUUUUUUUGCAUUUGCAGCUGUUAUUAUGUUCUAGGUUUUUAAAAAGAUAUCUUGGUGUACACAUUUAGAAACUGAAUUAAUUAGUGCACCCUAAAAAGCAAAAAAAAAAAACAAGAAAGAAAGAAAAAACCAUAAAAACAAACUUUGCUUUGCUGAAUUUUGUGGCCUGAUGGUUAAGUACUUGGGGUAACAGUUCACACUCGGAUUUCUGUAAAUAUUUCCAUUUUAGAAUUUUAUAAGCAUGUUCUUUUCUUUUCAAAUCAUUUCAAUCCCAAGACUACAGAAAAUUGUUUACAUUGUUUCAGUGAUGCACACUUAAAAGAGCAAUUAAAAGAAAAAGUCAGGGAGGGGGGAAAAAAAAACUCUCAGAUGGAGAUUGUGGGUGAAACAAACAGAUGGAAAAGAAAUUUCAAAAGUAAACCAAUGUGAUCAUUCAGGAAGAUAAAGAAGUGCAAACAGAUGUAAAAGCCCUAGUUUUCAAAGGAUUGGAAGCAGGGGAGUGAAAAAUUGUCUAUCAAACAUGAUAUAAGAGAGAUCCAAGGGACAAAGGAUGAGUAAAUAGAGAAAAAAACCAUUUCAUGAAACAAGAUCAGGACAUAACAUUGCAGCCAUAUGAAGAAGGUUAGAAACAUACAUACAAGUUCUUUGAUUCUGAACAUUAUAAUUUGGGGGUUUGACAGUUCUCAGUUCUUCAAAAACAUGGCAAUGUGAUGCAUAUUUAUUGUAUUUUUAGGCCUUUGUAUGGUUUUUGAAAAAUAUUCCAGUGUACCAAGUACACUUGUGAAAUCUAAUCUGAGGACAAUUUUAUUUUCUUCUUGAUAAGUGCUUUAUGGAUAUUAUUAGCUACUUUAAGACACUACCUAUUUUUAUCUGGAGCGAAUUUCUGCCAAUACUAAAAGAAAAAAUAGGAAUGCUCACUUCCCAAUGUUGAGAGGAAAUUCUCUUUUCAUCAUUUUAGGCACUGGUGGUCGUGAAAAUUUUAAUUAGAUGCAGUAUAAGAAGUGAGCAGUUUUUCCAGAGUGAAAUUGUACAUAUUAUACAAAUUGCCUACCUAGAACAAUGAAAAGCUAUGUUACAUUAAAUAUCAAAUAGUUGAAGCAUUUCCCUUUUUGUAUUAUAAAAUAUCUUAAACAUGCAGCCAAGUACAGUGCACAAUGUCCAAAAAAUAUUCUCAUGCAUUUAAAUCUAUAAUGUUGAAAGAAGAUAUUAAUAUAAUUCCUUGUUCAAGGCUGUGCUAAAUUAGGAACAGCCUGCAUUGUAAUCAGAAGAAAAAAAGAGCAAAUACUUUUUAAGGAAAUUUCAGUUUGAUAUGAUUAUUUAUCAUGUGAAGUUAAACUAAUGCAUUUCCCUCUCCUGUCUUUUUCCAUAAACAAAUGCCACAGUACCAAGACCAAAACAUAAGAAAUAGUAAAAUUAUAUAUUUUUCUUCUUUUUGAACAGAAAUAGCAAUGCCAAGUUCAGUUUGUUCCAUUGGUUUUAAGCCAAAUAAAUGGCAAAAAAUAGUGAAAAGCCUGGUCAGAUCAUGUGUCAUAGUUUCUAUUAAAGUCCUUAUAUGAAUUUCAAAUCUCUGUGCUACAUGAGACAUGAUCAUUCCUUUACUUGAAAAGUCCAUGUCAUGAGAAGAAAGGAAAAAGGGGGAGGAGAGAGAGGAGUCAUGCUGGCCUUGAAUGCUAUAUUUGAUUCAAAAUUUAUAAUUGAUAGAUGAUUGCUUAGAAAUAGUCUUAAUACUUUUUUCAUAAUGUAUAUAUAUUUUUCUCAUUCAUAGUUAUGUGUUUAGCUAAAUUUACUUUCAUCUUUUUGGUCAUAUGGAAAUUUACAGAAUAUGGAAAAAUUAGAGUAUGAGAAUUAGAGAAUAUGGAAAGAAAUGGACAAGAUUAGUUUUUCAAGGAGGAAAGCAAGAUGCAUUUUAUUUGCUCUUCAAAGAGAGAACAUUGAUAAAUAUGUAUACAAGUAAUAUCUACUUUGAUAUCAUUUGGAACAAGCUCAUCUAUGACCACUAUAUUAAGAAAUAUCACUAAAUGCAUUAAAAUAAAUGCCUUAGUCAUAAGCAUGCCCUAUAUUAAAAACAAAGAAACAGAAACAGACUCACAGACAUAAAAGACAAAUUUAUAGUUACCAAAGGGGAAAUUAGUGGAAGGAUAAAUUGGAAAUUUGGGAUUAACAGACACACACUGCUAUAUAUAAAAUAUGUAACCAACAAGGUCCUACUGGAUACCACAGGGAAGUACAUUCAAGAUCUUAUAAUAAA
rnacentral:lncRNA from 1 species